AUUGAACGCUGGCGGCAUGCUUUACACAUGCAAGUCGAACGGUAACAGGCCGCAAGGUGCUGACGAGUGGCGAACGGGUGAGUAAUGCAUCGGAACGUGCCCAGUCGUGGGGGAUAACGCAGCGAAAGCUGCGCUAAUACCGCAUACGAUCUAUGGAUGAAAGCGGGGGACCGUAAGGCCUCGCGCGAUUGGAGCGGCCGAUAUCAGAUUAGCUAGUUGGUGGGGUAAAGGCCUACCAAGGCGACGAUCUGUAGCUGGUCUGAGAGGACGACCAGCCACACUGGAACUGAGACACGGUCCAGACUCCUACGGGAGGCAGCAGUGGGGAAUUUUGGACAAUGGGCGCAAGCCUGAUCCAGCAAUGCCGCGUGCAGGAUGAAGGCCUUCGGGUUGUAAACUGCUUUUGUACGGAACGAAACGGUGAGCUCUAAUACAGUUUGCUAAUGACGGUACCGUAAGAAUAAGCACCGGCUAACUACGUGCCAGCAGCCGCCGUAAAAC
rnacentral:rRNA from 1 species